GAAAUCGGACAGAUUCGGCCGUAACCCAAAGCGCAAAAGUACUAACUGCCAAAGACAAUUUCAUUGUUGUUGUUGUUGUUGUCGCUUUU
rnacentral:sRNA from 13 species